rnacentral:lncRNA from 1 species
CACAAACCAUGAAGUAAAUAUGUUGGUAACUAUCCAUGCAACAGUUACUCUGUAACUGGAGAAUGUUGACUUCAGACUAGUUCAUACUCUUCUAUCAACAGAACAGAAACUGACAAGGAAUAUUAGUCAGCAGUUCUCAUGAAGGAACUGGCUCUGCCUGUAAGAUCAAGGGAAUCUUGCAAACAUUUUCAUGAGCAAAACAGAACACAGGGUCCAGGUUACAAAAUAGAACAGUGUGAUCCCACAGGGAGAGCUGCAAUGCUGAUAAGCACCGUCUACCUUCCAGCAGACCUUUGGCUGUGA